CCUCCUUUAGAGUUUGGAUCCUGGCUCAGAUUGAACGCUGGCGGCAGGCCUAACACAUGCAAGUCGAGCGGUAACAUUUCUAGCUUGCUAGAAGAUGACGAGCGGCGGACGGGUGAGUAAUGCUUGGGAACAUGCCUUGAGGUGGGGGACAACCAUUGGAAACGAUGGCUAAUACCGCAUAAUGUCUACGGACCAAAGGGGGCUUCGGCUCUCGCCUUUAGAUUGGCCCAAGUGGGAUUAGCUAGUUGGUGAGGUAAAGGCUCACCAAGGCGACGAUCCCUAGCUGGUUUGAGAGGAUGAUCAGCCACACUGGAACUGAGACACGGUCCAGACUCCUACGGGAGGCAGCAGUGGGGAAUAUUGCACAAUGGGCGCAAGCCUGAUGCAGCCAUGCCGCGUGUGUGAAGAAGGCCUUCGGGUUGUAAAGCACUUUCAGUCAGGAGGAAAGGUUAGUAGUUAAUACCUGCUAGCUGUGACGUAC
rnacentral:rRNA from 1 species